CCCGGAGCGGGGCGGACGCUGCCGGCGCCGGGAGGGAUCAGGUUGCGGUAGAAAUAAGCUCUGGAGGCGAGCGGGUGUGCGGAGCAAAGUGCGGCUGCCAAGGGAGUGCGAGGGGCGCAGCGUGCCCGGCACGGCGGCGGACGGCCCGAGCGGAGCCCGGGGGGACUAGGAGCUGCCCGCCGCCCUUAGGGACACUCGGCCUUGGGGCAGCGGGGCCGGGGCUCGGCGGGACCUGUUGGCGGAGCUGCCGGGGCCGAGCCGCUCCGCCGUGCGAUGGUUUCAGCUUCCCGCCAGCCGCCCCCGGCCCCGCCCGCCGCCGCUCGGCCCCCGCUCCCCUCCGGUGUCCGCCCGCGCGGGGAUGCGCCCCGGGGAGGCUGCGGGAGCGCUGCGGGACCCGGCGCAGGUGGCACCAGCGGCCGCUCCGCGCUCACGCCGCUCGCAGGCAGGGCUGGCCGUGCCAGGCGUGCACAUGUCCCUGCCAGGCGUGCACACGGGCGUGUGUGCCUGAACCGGAGAUGUAGAUGUAUAUAUGGGGCUUGAUUUAUAUCUAAUGGCACGUAUAAAGCUUUUGAAGGUGGCUGCAAUGUAAAAAGUAAUGACUUUAUUACCCCUGAAAGGUUCUGCGGUUCGCAGUUAACACUCCUCUGAAUUACAAUUCAUUACGCUCUCCAAAGCCAACCUGCAUCAGAACACCUACCUGUGCUUAUUCCCAAUCACAGGCAUCGUUCAUUGAUUUUCUUUUCUAAAAAUCAUAGCAAAUUAAGCACUUGGUGACAACUAAAUCUGUUUCAUUAUCGUGCCGUGUUUGAGAUUCCAGAGGUGACUUCCCAGAUCGCAUCUCAAAACCUACAGUCAGGAGCUAAUUUUACAGAUGCUUUCAUGAAUGGCAGCGAGGAUGUUCUUACCAUCAGCAUGCCCUUAAUUCCAGCACCGUAAAAAUGCCUCGAUUUAAAUGGAAACUCGCUGCCUUAAAAAUAAUAUUUCAUCCUGGCUGGAUAAUUAUUAAUAUUAGCAUUUGAUCGCAAAAGUGCUGGCUCCCCCUCGUUCCUGUACCCCCCCACCCCACCCCACAGCGCUUCGCAUUGUCAUGUGAUUGGAGGGAGAUAACAAAUCUCAAGAAAGAAAAGGAGUGAGAAGACAUUUUUAACACGGCAUGACCGCAGAUUAAUAAUGCAGGGUAUGAAUUUGGUACUUCUAGCUCUUGUGAAGCUCCCUACUCAAUGGAAUAUGUAUGGAUACCCCAGGUAAAUCUACAGCUACCCUGAGGAUUUCACAGGGCACACCUGCCACCCUGACCCACCUCCCUGUUCCUACACACUGGGAAGAGGCCAGGAACAAGAAAUGACACCUUAGUUAUCUCCAAAGAGGGUCCUAAAUGUGUAAGAUAAAGAGAACAUAAAUAAAUAUCUUUGCUAACAGU